rnacentral:rRNA from 2 species
AAUCCAUAGGUUAAUGAGGCGAACCGGGGGAACUGAAACAUCUAAGUACCCCGAGGAAAAGAAAUCAACCGAGAUUCCCCCAGUAGCGGCGAGCGAACGGGGAGGAGCCCAGAGCCUGAAUCAGCAUGUGUGUUAGUGGAAGCGUCUGGAAAGGCGCGCGAUACAGGGUGACAGCCCCGUACACAAAAGCGCAUGUGCUGUGAGCUCGAUGAGUAGGGCGGGACACGUGGUAUCCUGUCUGAAUAUGGGGGGACCAUCCUCCAAGGCUAAAUACUCCUGACUGACCGAUAGUGAACCAGUACCGUGAGGGAAAGGCGAAAAGAACCCCGGCGAGGGGAGUGAAAAAGAACCUGAAACCGUGUACGUACAAGCAGUGGGAGCACAGGUUUACCUGUGUGACUGCGUACCUUUUGUAUAAUGGGUCAGCGACUUAUAUUCUGUAGCAAGGUUAACCGUAUAGGGGAGCCGGAGGGAAACCGAGUCUUAACCGGGCGUUAAGUUGCAGGGUAUAGACCCGAAACCCGGUGAUCUAGCCAUGGGCAGGUUGAAGGUUGGGUAACACUAACUGGAGGACCGAACCGACUAAUGUUGAAAAAUUAGCGGAUGACCUGUGGCUGGGGGUGAAAGGCCAAUCAAACCGGGAGAUAGCUGGUUCUCCCCGAAAGCUAUUUAGGUAGCGCCUCGUGAA